rnacentral:rRNA from 1 species
AUUGAACGCUGGCGGAAUGCUUUACACAUGCAAGUCGAACGGUAGAGGGGGCAACCCCUCGAGAGUGGCGAACGGGUGAGUAAUAUAUCGGAACGUGCCCAGUCGUGGGGGAUAACGUAGCGAAAGUUACGCUAAUACCGCAUACGAUCUAAGGAUGAAAGCGGGGGAUCGCAAGACCUAGCGCGAUUGGAGCGGCCGAUAUCAGAUUAGGUAGUUGGCGGGGUAAAGGCUCACCAAGCCAACGAUCUGUAGCUGGUCUGAGAGGACGACCAGCCACACUGGAACUGAGACACGGUCCAGACUCCUACGGGAGGCAGCAGUGGGGAAUUUUGGACAAUGGACGCAAGUCUGAUCCAGCCAUUCCGCGUGCAGGAUGAAGGCCCUCGGGUUGUAAACUGCUUUUGUACGGAACGAAAAGGUCUCUCUUAAUACGGGGGGCUCAUGACGGUACCGUAAGAAUGAGCACCGGCUAACUACGUGCCAGCCGCCGCGGUAA